CACAGAGGAAUUUUCAAGGACAAGAACCAGUGCUGGUAAAACUGUGGUCUCUGUGGUUUUCCAUACCGGCUCUCGGCAAGGAUUUUCAAGAAAGGAAUACCAUCUCCAAAUCAUGAUGUGCCAAUAAGCUCCAGUUAGCUGCGGCCUUUUCCCCAGGCGGUAGUCCUGCAAUCUGAAUCCAGGAGAUGCAGCUCUGAAUCCAAUAUUUCAGAAGAAUGAAGAUGAAGCAGACCCAGGAGGAACUGUCUGUUGAAGACCCCCCCCCCCCCCCACCACCAAGCUGCCCACCAGAGGCCAAGCUGUACUUGGUGUUUGCCAACAUGCU